CGCAUCUGUGCAUGCAGCAUAUCAAUAAGCGGAGGAAAAGAAACUAACAAGGAUUCCCCUAGUAACGGCGAGUGAAGCGGGAAGAGCUCAAAUUUGAAAUCUUAAAGGGUUUCCCUUUACGAAUUGUAGUUUAAAGAAGUGUUUUCUGUUGAGGUUUUGGUAAAAGUUCUUUGGAAUAGGACAUCAUAGAGGGUGAGAAUCCCGUAUUUGACCUUUACUUUCAACUUUGUGAUACACUUUCAAAGAGUCGGAUUGUUUGGGAAUGCAGUCCAAAAUGGGUGGUAAAUUUCAUCUAAAGCUAAAUAUUGGCGAGAGACCGAUAGCGAACAAGUACCGUGAGGGAAAGAUGAAAAGAACUUUGAAAAGAGAGUUAAACAGUACGUGAAAUUGUCAAAAGGGAAGCGUUUCGACACCAGUGUUGUUUUUCUGAAAAUCAAUUAAAGAACUGUUUAUGCUAAGUUGUUUAGACUUUAUCAGCUAACUGUUUAGUUUUGAGCUUUUCUUUAAUGCACUUUUCAGUUAACAAGUCAACAUCAAUUUCUUUUGCUGUAAAAAAGCUUGAGGAAGGUGGCUUGAGAUUCGUCUUAAGUGUUUAUAGCCUCUUGCCUAUGCAGUCGGAGAGAUUGAGGUCUGCAGCGUAGAUCCUUCGGGGCUAAAUGCAUUUGUGCUAAGUUAUAGCAUUUUAUAGACAACUUGUUGACUAUGAUUUGUCUUGUAGCUUACUCGCUUAUGUUAUUUUACCUACGCUUAGGAUGUUGACAGCAGUAUAGACUGU
rnacentral:rRNA from 1 species